UACAGAGGUCUCAAGCGUUGUUCGGAUUCAUUGGGCGUAAAGGGUGCGUAGGUGGCGCGGUAAGUCGGGUGUGAAAUCUCGGAGCUUAACUCCGAAAUUGCAUUCGAUACUGCCGUGCUUGAGGACUGGAGAGGAGACUGGAAUUCAUGGUGUAGCAGUGAAAUGCGCAGAGAUCAUGAGGAAGACCAGUGGCGAAGGCGGGUCUCUGGACAGUUCCUGACACUGAGGCACGAAGGCCAGGGGAGCAAACGGG
rnacentral:rRNA from 1 species